rnacentral:rRNA from 1 species
GACGAACGCUGGCGGCGUGCUUAACACAUGCAAGUCGAACGGAAAGGCCCUGCUUUUGUGGGGUGCUCGAGUGGCGAACGGGUGAGUAACACGUGAGUAACCUGCCCUUGACUUUGGGAUAACUUCAGGAAACUGGGGCUAAUACCGGAUAGGAGCUCCUGCUGCAUGGUGGGGGUUGGAAAGUUUCGGCGGUUGGGGAUGGACUCGCGGCUUAUCAGCUUGUUGGUGGGGUAGUGGCUUACCAAGGCUUUGACGGGCAGCCGGCCUGAGAGGGUGACCGGCCACAUUGGGACUGAGAUACGGCCCAGACUCCUACGGGAGGCAGCAGUGGGGAAUAUUGCACAAUGGGCGGAAGCCUGAUGCAGCAACGCCGCGUGCGGGAUGACGGCCUUCGGGUUGUAAACCGCUUUCACCUGUGACGAAGCGUGAGUGACGGUAAUGGGUAAAGAAGCACCGGCUAACUACGUG